GUCAAAAUGGUCGAGUUGGUCUAAGGCGCCAGUUUCAGGUACUGGUCCGAAAGGGCAUGGGUUCAAAUCUCAUUCUUGACA
rfam:Picea glauca, whole genome shotgun sequence.